AGGAUCUGGAGGAAUUGAAGGCGUGUCUGGAGUUGGGUUUUGGAUUUGAGUCACCCGAAUUGGACAGCCGGCUUUCCAAUACGUUGCCGGCUUUAGGACUGUAUCAUGCUGUGAAUAAAAGUUACAGUGAUUCCAUCUCAAAGUCUGCGAAUAGGACGGCGUUUUCAUCGCCUGAUCGUGAUUACAUCAACUCUCCUUCUCCUCUCGGUAGCCCUCUUGCCAUUUUUGGUUCCUCUGGUAUACAAUUCUUCAUUCCCUUUUCUUUUUCUUUUUCAUUUACUAACAUUUUAUUUUAUAGUUUGAAAUAUAAAGUGUGGUUUUGAUUACUUCUUGUUCUGCUUUUUUAAUACAUCUCUAGAUUUUAAAUUUCAUGUCUCAUAAAUUUCUACAUUUUAAAAAUUUUAGACAAUUUUUUAAAAAAGAAAAUAUAGUUUCAAUCAUACCUUUAUUUCUUUUUAAAUUGAAUCUUACCUUUAUACAAUUGUUAAAUAUUUAGUACAUUUCAUGCCUCGUCUCUAAUCGUUCAAUCAUAACUUGUGGGAUGACAAAUUUUCUUUUUUACUUUUUUUCUAAUAAUUGAAUAUUUUAUGCGUAAGUGAUGGAAAGAAAUUAAAAAAAAAAGUGAUGUCUGAAAUGCACUCAGAUAUUACUUUUUUUUUUUUUGUUAUUAGAGAGAUUUGAUAGACCAAUUUUUACCACUGGAAUUAUAAGAAUGUAACGAAAACUAAGACCACAUAUGCAUAAUUUCUACUAUUUAUCUUUAAACUUCUUUAAUUUAAGGUUUAAUUUAGCGUAUAUCACAUUUAGUGAAUUGUUCGAAUAUAUAAUCAACUAAAUUUAAAAGUAUAAUAAUUUAAAUGAAUAUUUUAAAAUUACACCAACCAAAAUAAAACAAAUAGAAAAUAACAUUCAAUUUUUAAGAAUUUUGUAUAAACAAAAAUGAAAUUACUUGUUUAUUUUUGUAUUUAAUGAUACAUUUCUUCUAAAAAAAUUUUACAUCUCAUAAAUAUAUAUAUGUGGUUAAUGAGUUGUUUGUUUGUUAGUUGUAAAGUAAUAAUAAUAAUGUGAGUGCAUAAAUUAGGGGAAAAUCCAAAGGCGGUGAAGACAAAGCUAAGGCAGUGGGCUCAAGUGGUUGCUUGUUCGGUGAAGAACUCAUCAACUUAAAUAUAUCUUAAAUUAUCGAC
rnacentral:lncRNA from 1 species